rnacentral:pre_miRNA from 1 species
AAUGUACUCCCUCCGUCCCAAAAUUUUUGUCUUAAAUUUGUCCAAAUACAGAUGUAUCAAAUCACAUUUUAGUAUUAGAUACAUCCGUAUCUAGAAAAAUGUAAGACAAGAAUUUUGGGACGGAGGAAGUAGUAC